rnacentral:rRNA from 1 species
CUACGGGACGCUGCAGGCGAGAAAACUUUGCAAUGUGCGAAAGCACGACAAGGUUAAUCCGAGUGGUUUGUGCUAAACGAACCUUUUGACAGUCCUAGAAACACUGUUGAAUAAGGGGUGGGCAAGUUCUGGUGUCAGCCGCCGCGGUAAAACCAGCACCUCAAGUGGUCAGGAUGAUGAUUGGGCCUAAAGCAUCCGUAGCCGGCUCUGUAAGUUUUCGGUUAAAUCUGUACGCUCAACGUACAGGCUGCCGGGAAUACUGCAGAGCUAGGGAGUGGGAGAGGUAGACGGUACUCGGUAGGAAGGGGUAAGAUCCUUUGAUCUAUUGAUGACCACCUGUGGCGAAGGCGGUCUACCAGAACACGUCCGACGGUGAGGGAUGAAAGCUGGGGGAGCAAACCGGAUUAGAUACCCCUGUAGUC